ensembl:lncRNA
GGUGGAGCAGCGCGGUGCGGAUUAAGCGAAGCACUAGCGGGGCCGAGCUCGGCGCCGCCCCCUCCAGCUGCAGGGGCGUUCCCAGCUGUCGCAGCGAUCCUAACGGGCUCGGGCGGCGUCCCUCAGCGCUCCGCCUCCCGGGGCCCUCCCCCGGCUCCAUCUUGCUGGCGACCAGCGUUGGGCUGUGACGCUGCUUCCCGGGGUCAGAAUGUCAUACCCAGGCUAUCCCCCAACAGGCUACCCACCUUUCCCUGGAUAUCCUGUAAGUAUUGGCACUUAUAAAAUAGCUUGUGUACUUGGAACUGGCGUUGUAUAGGACUAGCCCAUGGCAGAUCUUACAGGUAUGCUAGGGUAGGGGUCAUAAACUCAAUUGCCCAGAGGUACUGAGUAGAAUAAGUGUGUAAGGCAGGUAUUAUGGAGGAACGAGAGGGCACUUGCCUCACUUUUGGAAAACCAGCAGCUACUCAGCUGUAGCCCGAUAUAGCCAUGCUGGGAGGCAGACUCACUGUUGCUAAUACUCAUUUCUUCAAGAAAGCUAGAAAUGUGGAUUUGAUGUGAAAUUGCCCCAUUUUUUUAAAUUGGGAAAUUCAUUUUUUUUUUAAGAUUUUAUUUGACAGAGAGCACAAGCAGGGGAGCAGGAGAGGGAGAAAGCAGAAGCAGACUCCCCCUGAGCAGGGAGCCCAAUACAGGGCUUGAUCCCAGGACACUGGGAUCAUGACUGGAGCCGAAGGCAGACGCUUAACCGACUGAGCCACCCAGGCACCCCGGGAAAUUAAUUUUUUUAAAUGUUAAUGUGUAUGAGCCAAUAGAACAUUUAUGUGAGCUGAGUCCAUCCCAUGAGUCACUGGUUUUUAACCUUUGUGUUAGAAGGUUUAAAAUAAUUAGAAGGGCUUGGCUCAGAAUAACAAAUUACAGUGGAUUAAAGGUCCCCUGGAUUUAUAGUUCUGAGACUGAGUAUUUGAAGUUCAUUUUAUAAAUGUGCUACUAAGUUCUGCUUGUUGAUGUCUGGACUAUGAGGACUAAACUCAUAGCUGAGACAUUUAAGUGAGAAUUAUGCAUUUCAAUUUUAUACUCAUAAGUGUGUAAGGCUUCUUUCUAACUCGGGAGAAUACAAAGAGGCCUAUGCAGGUUAAUGAUAAUAUGUGUAUCCUUAUGUAAAAUGAAUAUAUAGCUCCUGAAUUUAUCAUAGGAAUGAUGAGAAUUAUGAAUAUGUUCCCAGGCCCCUAUGUACUGAACUGGACUCUGGCUACCAUUUCGUCAGUGUGGGCUAAUUUCUGAAACAGACAACCCCAACAUCUAAGUGACUUUACACAAUAAAAAACUCAGUUCUUGCUUACUUUACUUCCUAGAAGUCAGUGGCGGGAAGGUGGGAGGGUGGGAGGAAUCAAGGAGGCUUUAUUCCAUGUAGUCUUGCAGGUCCCAGGCUCCUUUGACAUAGUGGCUCUACCAUCCUAUAGGGCCUUAGAGUCCUUCACUGGAUUCUCUGCUUCCAUCGGCAGAUGAAGGAAAAGAGAACGAGAGCGUAUAGAGGACUGUGAAGGGGGUUUGUAGGGGCCAGGCUGGAAGUGGUGUACAUCAGUUUCUGUCUCUCUUCAUUCACCAGUACUCAUAUUGUCCUACUUAACUGCAGGGGGUUCU